GUUCGCUUCAGUAGCACAUAUACUAAAAUUGGAAUCAAACAGUGAAGAUUAGCAUGACUCCUGCGCAACGAUGUCACACAGAUUUGUGAGGCAUUCUAUAUAUAA